rnacentral:tRNA from 3 species
AAUGAAAUGCCUGAUAAAAGGAUUACUUUGAUAGAGUAAAUCAUGUAGGGUUCCUACUUUCAUUA